rnacentral:rRNA from 1 species
AGCGGGAUUUGAAGCUUGCUUCAAUCGCCGGCGACCGGCGCACGGGUGAGUAACGCGUAUCCAACCUUCCGUACACUCAGGGGAUAGCCUUUUCGAAAGAAAGAUUAAUACCUGAUGGUAUGAUGAGAUUGCAUGAUAGCAUCAUUAAAGAUUUAUCGGUAAGCGAUGGGGAUGCGUUCCAUUAGGUAGUAGGCGGGGUAACGGCCCACCUAGCCGACGAUGGAUAGGGGUUCUGAGAGGAAGGUCCCCACAUUGGAACUGAGACACGGUCCAAACUCC